rnacentral:rRNA from 1 species
GACGAACGCUGGCGGCGUGCUUAACACAUGCAAGUCGAACGGAAAGGCCCUGCUUUUGUGGGGUGCUCGAGUGGCGAACGGGUGAGUAACACGUGAGUAACCUGCCCUUGACUUUGGGAUAACUUCAGGAAACUGGGGCUAAUACCGGAUAGGAGCUCCUGCUGCAUGGUGGGGGUUGGAAAGUUUCGGCGGUUGGGGAUGGACUCGCGGCUUAUCAGCUUGUUGGUGGGGUAGUGGCUUACCAAGGCUUUGACGGGUAGCCGGCCUGAGAGGGUGACCGGGCACAAUGGGACUAAGGAACGGGCCAGAAUCCUACGGGAGGCAGCAGUGGGGAAUAUUGCACAAUGGGCGGAAGCCUGAUGCAGCAACGCCGCGUGCGGGAUGACGGCCUUCGGGUUGUAAACCGCUUUCGCCUGUGACGAAGCGUGAGUGACGGUAAUGGGUAAAGAAGCACCGGCUAACUACGUG